rnacentral:tRNA from 1 species
GCCGUGGUGGUUCGGUGGUAGAAUUCUCACCUUCCAUAUGGAAGACCCGGAUUCGAUUCCUGGCCAAAGCA